GGAAAAGAGAAAUUCCAGAUUUAAGUUUCAAGGCCAUCUGUGUAACUUUUCAUAAUAUUUCUUCACAGGGAAUGGUUUCUGAUUUCAUGGAAGGUGAAGAGUAAGAUAUAGACAUCUGUGGAGGCCUUCAAUAGUUAAUCCUGGAAAUAUCUGGAUUAUCUAUCCUGUUGGGAGCCUGGAGAAUGCAUUGCCACAGAAGUAUGAAUAAAUUCUCUUCAGUGAAGACCCUGAAGAACAUAUUUGUAUACAAUCCUGAGUAUCCCCUGAAAACCUGAUUUUAUGGAGAAACUUUAGAAGUGUUCAUUGAUUUGGGUUAUAGAUUCUUAUCUGUCGCCCGGUUUGGAGUACAGUGGCACAACUGUAGCUCACCACAGCCUCAACCUUCUGGACUCUAGCAAUCCUUCUGCCUCAGCCUCCCAAGUAGCUGGAAUGACAGGUCGGUGCCACCAUGCCCAGCUAAUUUUAAGUUUUUUUUUCUUUGUGAA
rnacentral:lncRNA from 1 species